GACCAAGCUUCCAGGAAAAGCCACUAAGCUUCAGUCUAGAGUUGACCGUACCGCAAACCGACACAGGUGGGCAGGAUGAAAAUUCUAAGGCGCUUGAGAGAACUCAGGAGAAGGAACUCGGCAAAUUAACACAGUAACUUCGGGAGAAGGUGUGCCCCGGUAGCGUGUAGAGACUUGCUCUCGAAGCGCGAUGGGGUUGCAGUGAAAUGGUGGCUGCGACUGUUUAAUAAAAACACAGCACUCUGCAAACACGAAAGUGGACGUAUAGGGUGUGACGCCUGCCCGGUGCCGGAAGGUUAAGUGAUGGGGUGCAAGCUCUUGAUCGAAGCCCCGGUAAACGGCGGCCGUAACAAUAACGGUCCUAAGGUAGCGAAAUUCCUUGUCGGGUAAGUUCCGACCUGCACGAAUGGCGUAACGAUGGCCACACUGUCUCCUCCUGGGACUCAGCGAAGUUGAAAUGUUUGUGAAGAUGCAAUCUACCCGCGGCUAGACGGAAAGACCCCAUGAACCUUUACUGUAGCUUGCAUUGGACUUUGAGCCGGUUUGUGUAGGAUAGGUGGGAGACUGUGAAGCCGGGACGCUAGUUUCGGUGGAGUCAACCUUGAAAUACCACCCUGAUUUGUUUGAGGUUCUAACCUUGGUCCGUGAAUCCGGAUCGGGGACCGUGCAUGGUAGGCAGUUUGACUGGGGCGGUCUCCUCCCAAAAGGUAACGGAGGAGUACGAAGGUACGCUUAGGGCGGUCGGACAUCGCCCACAAAGUGCAAUGGCAAAAGCGUGCUUGACUGCGAGACCCACAAGUCGAGCAGGUACGAAAGUAGGUCAUAGUGAUCCGGUGGUUCUGUAUGGAAGGGCCAUCGUUCAACGGAUAAAAGGUACUCUGGGGAUAACAGGCUAAUUCCUCCCAAGAGUUCAUAUCGACGGGGGAGUUUGGCACCUCGAUGUCGGCUCAUCACAUCCUGGGGCUGUAGUCGGUCCCAAGGGUAUGGCUGUUCGCCAUUUAAAGUGGUACGCGAGCUGGGUUUAAAACGUCGUGAGACAGUUUGGUCCCUAUCUGCCGUGGGCGCUGGAAAUUUGAAGGGGGCUGCUCCUAGUACGAGAGGACCGGAGUGGACGAACCUCUGGUGUACCGGUUAUGACGCCAGUCGUAUCGCCGGGUAGCUAAGUUCGGAAGAGAUAAACGCUGAAAGCAUCUAAGCGUGAAACUCGCCUUAAGAUAAGAUUUCCCGGAGUCUUGAACUCCCUGAAGGGUCGUCGAAGACCACGACGUUGAUAGGUCAGGUGUGGAAGCGCAGCAAUGCGUUAAGCUAACUGAUACUAAUUGCCCGUGCGGCUUGAUCU
rnacentral:rRNA from 1 species